UUGUUGGUAGCAAUAAUAAUACAAUAUAAUGUUUCUUUCAAGAUUUUCAGUGUUUUUCCUUGUUUUUAUGGAAUAUCCAUUUGUUGUCGAUUCGAUAUCAAUUCGAUACUCGCGAGAGUUGCAGUGAAAAGCGCCGCGCCGCGGUCUGCUCCUCUAACCUUUUUUUGUCUUUCGUCCCUGCCUUGGUACCGGCCGGCUAAAGUGGGCAAAAGUGUACAACGUGUAUUAUCGCUUUAUAUAGGUAAUCUUUCUUUUUUUAUUAUAAAUUAUAUAUUAUAACAAAAUAAAUCAAUUAAAUUAUUACUUUUUGAACAUAUUUUUAAUAUAUGAUUGUUCUGCAUCUCAUGCAGAAUGCUUCUGCAUCAAUAAUUGUUACUAUUGUGCACAUAUUUAAGGUUAUGUGUUUUCUAUUCCAAUGUGAAAUUAUUAUUUUGUUGCAAACUAUUAUUAUUGUUUCCUGUAAAAAAGAAAGUUUCAAAACGUAGUCGCAACUAUAAAAAGCUGGCUAAAGUAUACCACGUGUGUCUGCAUCGCUUUAUAUCACAGACUAUUAUUAUUGUUUCUUGUAAAAAAGAAAUUGAAAUUAAGUUGUAUGUUUCGAAACGUAGUCGCAACUAUAAGAAGCUGGCUAAAGUAUACCACGUGUAUCUGCAUAUAUUGCUUUAUAUCACAGACUAUUGUUUCCUGUAAAAAAGGAAUUGAAAUAAAAUUGUACGUUUCGAAAGAUAGCCACAGCUAUAAAAGAAGCUGACUAAAGUAUAUAAUGUGUGUGCCUGCAUAUAAGUGCACGAUGUCAGAGGACGAUAGGCUUGUAAGUAGUUUUUCCAAAAUUACCAUUAAUAAUUUUAUUAUCAUGAUUCUACUCAAAAGGUUUCUCUCAAGUGGUUUUUAAUGGCCGUUUUACAAUGAGUAUUUUAGUUGUAAUUCAACAGUAUGGCUAUUUGGGAGUCAUAAGUCGUUAAUCGUAACAAAUUUAUAUCUAAAAUGAAAUAAUAUAGUUUAUAAUUACAAAUAACACAGUUGUAUUUGCUAUAACACAAUUAUAACUUAAUUCUGUUUCUGAUAUCUGAUCAACGACUAACAACUCAUUGCAAAACGACUAUAUAUAAGAUUUAUACAUAUACUUUGAAAUUAGUAGAAGAGGAGAUAACAUAA